rnacentral:lncRNA from 1 species
GGGAAAAGAAAUCUAGAUAUUCCAAAGAAUUUGUGUUGCUGUGGGGGUGGAAUUGGCUUAACUCACACCAUGCUAGAAAUUCUUGUCAAGAUUUUCAAAGUCAAUGCUUGUCCGUAUUUACCUUUUUCGGAAAUAUGCAAGUUUCUGUCUGGCCCUCCAGAGCAUAUUUGUUAAAUAACCCUUGACAGUUGUUUUACUUGUUGCAGGAGAGGUUACAACCAAAGAUGCCAAAAGAACACCUACUAGAUUUCACAUGAACAAAGGCAAGAAGCUUAAGCGAUUGAAGCGCUAAGGCAAGUUUAUGUUUGAGUAAAAGUUGCAUACUGCCGAUGCCAAGUUCUGUACCUUUAUGAUUUAUCUAUUUCUUUACCCUCUUUCACUUUGAUUCUGUGCAAUUGUGUACAUUUGCUUCUCAAUACAUAGGUAAGAACAAGACAAAGCCUGAAGUUUUGGUGGAUGUCAUGGUAGAUGACACAUAUGAGACAGGGCGUGGUAUGGCAAUAACUGAUCUGUUUCCUGGAGGACACAACUGUACAGACUAAUUUGCCUGAUAAUGUAGGAGGCAAGGUUUGCACUUUCACUUUACGAGAGAAAAAUCAUGGAUUCCAACGAGUUAGCUAGAAGUAAUGAAGAGGACUAAUGGAAUUUGUGCCUCUGGAAUGAAAGAAUGUGAUAUGAUGUUACAGAUUCCUUAUUAGGGCACUUCCAUGCACUAAGGAUAUUUACGUAGCUAUAAUCUUUUUCAACAAGCAUUGAAAUGAAUUUUGUUGCUAUAUGAAACUCUGCUGCCAUUGCUCCUUCUAUUUUUUUUUUCAAGGAAAAACGAGUUGAUACAUAAUUUGUAUUA